rnacentral:lncRNA from 1 species
AACAAUAAUUGCCGCUCCUUAUAACUGCAGUUCCUGAGCUGCUCAGUGGGCAUGGGGUUGGAGUCCAGCUCGGAGUGUGUGGAGUUUGCAUGUUUCUCUCCGUCUUUGAACUCCCCAGACACGCAAGGAAGAAAGCAUUGGCAAACCACUUUCAUUCCUCCCAUGCCUUGGAAACCACAUGAGCGGUUGCACUGAAUCGGACUCGACUCCAUGGCACAUCUGUCCACCCAUCAGGCCACUUGUACAGGGGCAGUGGGUAGAGCAGCAGUUAAGGAAAUAGAAUUUCAGCCAAAAGACCCAGGGGUUCAAGUCUCUUUCCCUGCUACUGCUGCAGCACCCUUGAGCAAAGUACUUACCCUGAA